AGAGAUGCUGUAAUGGUAAGACUUUGGAUCCUUCCUGAGGACGUGGAGAAAACUUGCUGCUGAGAAGGACAUUUUGAAGGUUUUGUUGGCUGAAAAAGCUGUUUCUGGAAUCACCCCUAGAUCUUUCUUGAAGACUUGAAUUAGAUUACAGCGAUGGGGACACAGAAGGUCACCCCAGCUCUGAUAUUUGCCAUCACAGUUGCUACAAUCGGCUCUUUCCAAUUUGGCUACAACACUGGGGUCAUCAAUGCUCCUGAGAAGAUCAUAAAGGAAUUUAUCAAUAAAACUUUGACGGACAAGGGAAAUGCCCCACCCUCUGAGGUGCUGCUCACGUCUCUCUGGUCCUUGUCUGUGGCCAUAUUUUCCGUCGGGGGUAUGAUCGGCUCCUUUUCCGUCGGACUCUUCGUCAACCGCUUUGGCAGGUAUUGACUAGAAACUGGGCAAGGAAGUGGGCUCUACCAGCCACAUUGAGGACAAGUGUGGAGAGUUAGGGCAGGGAGGUGAUGAUGCCUUUGAAUAAGAACACCUUGAAUUCUAAUCAAGGGAAACCUAGUCCAACUGGCCCCGAAUAUGACUGCCCUUGCUUGGAGCUCUACUACCCUGGAGAGCUCCCACCCAGCUGUGCAAGAGAUGAACUGUGAGUGAUUGGCCUUUGCAGUCCAGCUAGGGAUAGUUCAGAAUUAUUCCCUAGUAAACUCAACUAUGGGGUUUCUAGAAACAUACUUAAUUUACAAGGUCCGAAGUUGUUUACUUGUAUUAUAAA
rnacentral:lncRNA from 1 species